rnacentral:rRNA from 1 species
GACGGCAGCACGGGGGCAACCCUGGUGGCAAGUGGCGAACGGGUGAGUAAUACAUCGGAACGUGCCCAGUCGUGGGGGAUAACGUAGCGAAAGCUACGCUAAUACCGCAUACGAUCUAUGGAUGAAAGCGGGGGACCGUAAGGCCUCGCGCGAUUGGAGCGGCCGAUGGCAGAUUAGGUAGUUGGUGGGGUAAAGGCUCACCAAGCCUGCGAUCUGUAGCUGGUCUGAGAGGACGACCAGCCACACUGGGACUGAGACACGGCCCAGACUCCUACGGGAGGCAGCAGUGGGGAAUUUUGGACAAUGGGCGCAAGCCUGAUCCAGCCAUUCCGCGUGCAGGAUGAAGGCCUUCGGGUUGUAAACUGCUUUUGUACGGAACGAAAAAGCUCUUUCUAAUACAGAGAGUCCAUGACGGUACCGUAAGAAUAAGCACCGGCUAACUACGUGCCAGCAGCCGCGGUAAUACGUAGGGUGCAAGCGUUAAUCGGAAUUACUGGGCGUAAAGCGUGCGCAGGCGGUGAUGUAAGACAGAUGUGAAAAUCCCCGGGCUCAACCUGGGAACUGCAUUUGUGACUGCAUCGCUGGAGUGCGGCAGAGGGGGGAUGGAAUUCCGCGUGUAGCAGUGAAAUGCGUAGAUAUGCGGAGGAACACCGAUGGCGAAAGGCAAUCCCCUUG